ensembl:lncRNA
CCCUAUACCUACACUCGCUUUCUGCCUGAUCAGUUCAAAUCACUAUCUGAGAUGCUGACUGGUGUGGGGUCACAAGAUGCUGUGACAUUCUGGAAGAGGAGCACAAUGUCAUCACAAAGUGAUGACAAAGUAAUGACAUCACAGGGAGGUCAACACUCCCAUGAGUCCCUCAGACUUUGGUCCUUGCAGGUCUCUGUGUUUCCUCCUCUUUCCCCAGGGCUUCUCCAAGGACAUUUUCUGAAGCCUUUCCAUCUGCUGAGCCAAAGAGAUUGCUCAAGACCAGAUGUGGAGAGCCCUUGGCCCAGAGCCCCUAGGUAUCAUUACUGCUAUCUACAUGUGAGGAUGGUGAGACAUGGAGAAGAGGUGACCUGUGCAGGACAGAGGAGGAGCUGCCGGGACUGGAUCCUGAGGUGCUGCCUGUCUCCCUGCGCUCGGGGCCUUGGAAGCUGAAUGGACCCCAGGGCUGAGACUAGUCACCAUUAUCUGCCGCUGUGGACAUCACGCUGGGAGCACAAGGCCACAGGGGCUACAGCCAGACAGUCAUCAUAGGCUGGUAUGGCCACCCCUGCACUGCCCCCACACCAGAGCUGGGAUGGAGGUGGUGAAGCCCCAUGUGGCCUGUGGGUCCAAGCUCAGAUCCCCGCCUCUUGGACCAGCAGGAAGCAGGCAGCAUCUUUCGGGUCCCACAUGUGGGUGCUUCUCUGUACUGUG